rnacentral:lncRNA from 1 species
AUAUCCUGCUAGCUGUACAUUACUUCCAUGUACCUCAAAACCUCAGCCUGUUCCCUAUUCCUUUGAAAAGGCACCUAGCCUGAGUUUCUCAUUUCCUUUUUGAAGAAAGGGAUGAACCAGUGAUGUUUUGGAAGUUAAAAAGGAAUAAUCUGUAAUAUGAAUGGAAAGGCUAAGCUGAGGAGUGCAUUGAUAACCGGGAUUCACACUGAGGGGACAGAUGGGAGAGGUUCUAAACACUGAGCAGUCUGCCUUACAGAUCCUCAAAGAUAGGCUGUUGUCUUUGUGUGUUCACUUCGAGGAGACACUGAGAAAAGAGGCACACAGUUGGCAGUAAUGGAGAAUAGUCCACAGGGAUGGAAACCCAGGCCCCAUGACUUCAGCUGAGGCACUGAUGAACAGUCAAGAAGGACACUUUCGAUGUAACUGAGAUGAUGUCACCCCAGUGUUCUCUGGCAGCAACUUUGUGGGAAAAAAUUCCCAAGUUUAUGAAGAAAGCGAUACCAAAACCAAACAGAGAAAGCAGCAAAAUAACUUAAGCUAGGUCUGUAGCAAGCCUCUCCUUACCUAGGGUGGUACUGAGCGUCCACUGUAACAACAUCAGUAGAAAAAUGGGAUCCAGUGGUCUCUUAAGGUUUCCUAUGGGGUGAAAUAAAUGCACCAGCUUGGAGAAUGAACAGCA